rnacentral:rRNA from 1 species
GUCGAGCGGGAAUUGCUGUACUUCAGCGGGGGACGGGUGAGUAACGCGUGGAACCUUACCUUGUGGUUCGAAACAACACUGGAAAACUUGUGCUAAUACCGGAUAAGCCCUUACGGGGAAAAAUUUUUCGCCCAAGGAUCGGCCCGCGUCUGAUUAGCUAGUUGGUGGGGUAAUGGCCUACCAAGGCGACGAUCAGUAGCUGGUCUGAGAGGAUGAUCAGCCACAUUGGGACUGAGACACGGCCCAAACUCCUACGGGAGGCAGCAGUGGGGAAUUUUGGACAAUGGGGGCAACCCUGAUCCAGCCAUGCCGCGUGAGUGAUGAAGGCCCUAGGGUUGUAAAUCUCUUUUGUGCGGGAAAAUAAUGACGGUACCGCAAGAGUAAGCCCCGGCUAACUUCGUGCCACCAGCCGCGGUAAUACAAAGGGGGCUAGCGUUGCUCCGAAUCACUGGGCGUAAAGGGUGCGUAAGCGGGUCUUUUAGUCAGGGGUGAAAUCCUGGAGCUCCACUCCAGAACUGCCUUUGAUACUGAACAUCUUGAGUCCCGGAGAGGUGAGUGGAACUGCCCGUGUAAACGUGAAAUUCGUAGAUAUUCGCAAGAACACCCCUGGCGGAGGCGGCUCUCUGGGCCGGUCCUGACCCUGAGAGACGAAAACGUGGGGAGGCAACAGGAUUAAAUUCCCUGGUAGUCCACACCGGGAACCAUGAAUGCCUGCCGUCUGUGGGUUUACUCACUAGUGGCGCAGCUAACGCUUAAAGCAUUCCCCCUGGGGAGGAGGGUCUUCACAAUAAAACUCAAAUGAAGUGACGGCGGCCGGCACCACCAGUGGAGCAUGUGGUUUUAUUCUUCGCAGCGCACAGAACCUUCUCAGCCCUUGUCGUGUGGAGGACCAGUCGCUAA